AAACCACAGUGUCUAUAGGAAACAGGUGAAAGGCGCUGCCACACUGGUUGCGGUACGUGCGGUACGUGCGGCAAAUCUGUACAAAAUCACAACACUGCUGCAACUGCCGCUCGUGCCGCAACAAAAGCACAUCUGAACAACCUCGUUGGAUACCGUGUUUGACAAGCCAAAAAGCGUCUGCAACUGCCGCAAGUACCGCACGUACCGCAACCAGUCUGGCAAAGCCUGAAGUCAUAGCAAAGAGUCUAUAGGAAACAGAACAAACGAGCAGCCCCGCUGUGGCUAUCAACGUGUCAGCAGGGGCCGAAAACGCCGGCUAUCUCUGAUUCUGAAACGAGUGGAAAAGGCCCGGAUCCGGCUUCCACCGAUAGCCGGUCACUGUCGGCUUAGACUAUUGGUUAAAGGACAAAAGGACGGAGACGAUCGGAGUGUGAUGGACAAUCACAUCAGCGCUACAUGCUCAGUGCAUCCAAAGAAGGGUGUUGUCGCGUGUCCGACCAGAGAUCCAGCAAAGGUGAAACCUCUUCGCUUGUUCCGAACAAGGAGCAGCAAGGAGUAGGAGUGGGUUCUUCUGCCCGAAUAAAGGCAGCUCCAGCGCGCUUUGUUCAUCAUAUAAGAACGCUGGUUCGGCAGAUCGUUUGCCAAUCGCGAGGCGCAUCCAAAGGAAGAGUUUGCAAAACACAGCUAGGCAAAAUCUAUAAGGCAUCUUAAAACCACCAAUGUAGAACAAUCAUAGCACUGAAAAACUGGAAAAAUUUUAA